rnacentral:tRNA from 1 species
GCCUCGGUGGCGGAAUUGGUAGACGCGCUGGAUUCAAAAUCCAGUUCUCUAGGGAGUGCGGGUUCGAUUCCCGCCCGGGGUA